ensembl:lncRNA
CUUGACAUCAGAUCUGCAUGUAACGUUGUUGUAGUUUAUAUAGUGAAAUAUCCAGACACACAAGUCAGAUGAUCUUUUGAAUAAUUUGAAGCCAAUCUUUAUGAACAUUAUAAACAGUAUUACAUGGUAUUGUUUAUCAACAUUAUUCACACAAUUAUAUGAUACAGAAACAUUAUACACAUUUAAAAUAAUCUUUUUUUUACACUAACCAAUCUUUCAUAUAAAAAUAAACUAACAAUAUUUAUUUUUCUCUUUGAAUAGCAGUUUCCACAAUAUUUCGUAAUAACUUAAUAUAUAGCAGAGCACAUAUUUCCAGCAUAUUUUCUUUACAUAAUAGACAAAUUUCCCCCUUUUUUAUGGUGUGCUGAUUUUGGCAGCUCAACUAGGUUUUUUAAAACAACCUAUUACUACGGAAUUCUGGUUUUCUUGUUCUCUCAUUUUCUUUAUUUUUACCUAGUGGGAUGAUUCUCUCGUGUACCUGUACAUUUUAAGCGCAUAUAAGCAGAAAACGCCCUCAAAAAAAAAAAAAAAAACACUAAAAGUUCGAGACUAACAUGUUUUGCCAACUGAAACAGACUACUUCACGCGGGGACAGCUAAUACAACCAAAUACAAUGUCCGAAUUAUUCCAUUACUCUUUCAGGGGACUGUUUUUCUGUCAGUAUUUUACGAUAUGAGAUCCGUGUCGUGGUGCGCCCGCACUUCAACUAAAGACGUUCUAUCCAGAACACAAAAGGUCUUGUCAUAUUUUUGUGUGUAGGCUAUACCCUACAAUAAAGUGAUAAGUAACAUGCUACUUUUACCGCGGGAACGUGAUCACUUAGCGCUACUGUUGCUUGUAACCUUGAGACUUCCCAAGUGCCUUGGUACUUGGACAAAUACUUCGUAUAUAUACACACUUAUGUAUAUAACCCCCACACACGCGCGCGCACCUUUUGUUUUUACUUCCAUGUCUGGGGGAGGGGGUGUUAGGGUUUAAUUUGGGGAAGUUCGAAUUCCCCCCAUUAUUUCCACCCAGGCCAAAUAUGCAGUUAAUUCUGAAAACGUGCCCUAUUUUAUAACAAGAGAAGAAAGUGUCAAAAUGGUGGACAUCACAAUCGAACUCUUUUGUGCUCUUAAAUCCCACGCAUCACUCUCCUCGUCUUCAUAAUCCGUCUCGUAGUCGUAGUCCAAGUCGUCCUCGGUAUUUGAAAAGCCACUCCCGCCGUAUCGGUCGUUAAAGCAGAAGUUUUUCAUGCUGCCUUUGACAAACUCGCAUAUUGUCCUCUCUGUGCCGUCGCACACGCAAGUGUCCAGCUGCUGGGCUUUGGGGACGGAGCGCAUGUUCGUGAUGACCCGCCGGCAGUCGUCAGAGCAGCGCUCUCCGCCGAAGAGUUUCCUGCAGUGAAACAGAUAGUCCCGCAUGGCGGUGCUGCACUCGGGAUCCUUCUCACACUGCUUACGCGCUUCGGUGCAGCCCAUGUGGCUCGUUCUAGGUAUACAGGGCUCGAUGGCUCUCUUGGUCAUCUUGCAUAGAGUGUCCGAGGCGCACUCGCAGUCCUCCAGUGCCGGGCCGUUCACAGUCAGAUUGAGCUGAAUGAUGGAAGAAAUGCAGUGGCUCGGACAUUUCUUCUUCUUGCCGUUUAUCACCGGACCGCACGCGUGUAGAUACUGUGUGUACGCGUAGUGACACUCCUGUUCUCCUUGGCACUUCAUGAUGGCUUGCCAGCAUAUCAAACGCUGGUUGUGUGCCGGUGAUGCGGUGGAUAAACGAUUAUAACAUACCAAUGCACAGCCGAUGGACACAAUCAAUAUUUGCAGCCGUAGAAUGGCUGGAGAAUUGCCAUAGUUUGCCAUUUCUUUAUGAUGCAGAGGCUUAAAAGUUGAUUAUUAGGUCAAGGGAUUCCAUUUGUUGGUUUAUAACCCAUAAUGUUUUUCCACCAGAGACUGAGAUAAACAACUCUUGUUCCAUGCCCACCGUCUAGCCACGUUCUUCUGACCCCUUCAGAUAGUUAAGUGUGCUCAUAUUUGUUCCUUCGAUAUCCACUGAAACGUGUAUCGAAACCCCUCCAUGGACAAAACACCAAAUGGCUGGUAACGAAUCACAUUUGCUCACAGCCGCGAAAGCAAAACGUGCAGCAACAUCUUGAAGCGCGUGGAGUCUUUAUUCUCGCUGCUCUUUGUGCAGUAGACUAAUCCAGUAAGGAAUCGGCGGCUUAUAAAUUACAUCGAAACAUUCCAAAAGCGAUCUCACACCGCAUCUUGUCCAAAUAACAAAGCUGGAAAAAGUUCAACUCACUCUGACUCCUCUGAGAUGUCUUGUUGGAUCUGUUCAGUUACCCGGACCCCAGAAGUUCUGAUUAUGAUCAUCACCUGGCCCAAAUCUGCAAAAAGAGAAGGGGCAGUUUUUGAAGAACAGAGCGGACUGUGUUAUCCAUGCUACAUUGACCCACACUGCAGCGCUCAAACCACAAAGCUUGGGCAGCUGGCCAAAAAUGCCCUCUACCUCACUUCCACCUUCCAACAUUUUCUCCUUUUUCCAAUUAGGAAGAUUAGAUGGCCCAUUUGGGAGGAAGGG